UGAACGCUGGCGGCAGGCUUAACACAUGCAAGUCGAGCGGUAGCACAGGGGAGCUUGCUCCCUGGGUGACGAGCGGCGGACGGGUGAGUAAUGUCUGGGAAACUGCCUGAUGGAGGGGAUAACGUACGUGGAAACGGUAGCUAAUACCGCAUAACGUCGCAAGACCAAAGAGGGGGACCUUCGGGCCUCUUGCCAUCAGAUGUGCCCAGAUGGGAUUAGCUAGUAGGUGGGGUAAUGGCUCACCUAGGCGACGAUCCCUAGCUGGUCUGAGAGGAUGACCAGCCACACUGGAACUGAGACACGGUCCAGACUCCUACGGGAGGCAGCAGUGGGGAAUAUUGCACAAUGGGCGCAAGCCUGAUGCAGCCAUGCCGCGUGUGUGAAGAAGGCCCUCGGGUUGUAAAGCACUUUCAGCGAGGAGGAAGGUGGUGAACUUAAUACGUUCAUCAAUUGACG
rnacentral:rRNA from 1 species